UCAAUAUUACAGCUCACGUUCAAGUGUGCCUACCUGCUUUUUCCCCCAGGUAGCAGACAUAGAUUAAGAGUGGACAGACACCAAGAUUGUUAACACCAGUUGGCUCCCCCCUCCUCAGUCUUAUCCAUUUAAGUGGAAAGUCCUGCUCACUACCCACGAAACAGCAAGAGCACAGAGAUGGCAAGUGCUGGAAGCUAGACACCAGACUUCCACCAGGAGCUAUGAUUACAUCUAUCAACCUAAUAGAAAAGGCAUGCCAUGCUCUCCCACAAAGACAGCAAAUUUUCCCUCAAAUAAUUGCACAGCCCACACCAGCCAGAAGAAUUCUUUGAAUAUUGAACAUUGUAGCACAGUAGCUUGAGAAGCACACUGUGCUUUGUAGUCACUGCUUACUGCCAGCUUUAACAUCUGCAGGAAUUUCACAAGAGGUAUUCCUAUAUUUUCAUGCAAAAAUAUAAACAGACAUUCCCUUUCUGCAAAUCACUUCUUUCUAAUAUGGCAAAUCACACUUCUGAACCUCUGAAGCAAGUAUUUGGAGGGAACCAUUUACACAAGACUACUAAAGCAAAGCAAUGGUUACCACUGGAAUUCAUGGAGAAUAUCUCUGACAGCUGUGAGACUGAGUCCAGUGGACUCACUACUGAGGGGAAGAAUCUUAUUUCUUACAGCAUGCUAAUACCUUUUCUGGAACCAAUCAACUAAGAUUAUUUUCUUUGCUUUAUGUCACAAGUUGAGAAUUACCCCUUUUUAGCACUUGCCCACUCAAAUUGCACUUGUGGAUAUGCACUUUGGUAACACCCUGUCCUAAUGUGCACCUAAAGAAAACCAAACUGGUAAGAGGCAAAGUGGAGAUUUAAGUAAGGUUAAUCACCAAGACUCUGAAGCUGCAGCUUCUGAAGAUACAAGGAGAGUUGAUAAAGCUUAAUUUACAUUCAUGUGAAUGCCAUACAUUAGGAGAAAAGUGUAUAUUCAAUAUUGUCUGUGCCAGCUUGCCUCUGAAGGGCAAUGUGCUUGACUUGUCAAACCAGCUUAAUAUCUGACUACUUGAGUCAGUAUUACAUGAAGGGCAAGAAUUUAAUACUUGCCUUCAGAAAAGUGGGUGAUCAAUGUAAGUUUAUUAUUUUUGCAAAGUAUUCUAGUUUGUUUCAUAAACUAAUCCAAAAAUUAGUUAUGUUGAGCUCUAUACAUUAUUUUCCUCCUGUCUACUAUACUGAAUGUAAGAAUUUAGGUACUGUUUACAUUUAAGGUAGAUUUCCCCUGUCUAUUUGAUGUAUACCCAUCCAGCCAUCCCUUACUCUCUGUAUCAGAGUACUAGGAAAAAGUUUUCAUUGUGAUCUUGUAGGAAGCACAAAACUUCUGAACAAUUACAAUGUGACAUCUUUUUGAAAAUAAGGCUGAAACACCAUCUAUUCCAUAGUGCAUAGAAGCUCAAGCAUUAAGCGCAUUUCCAUUGCUGACAGAAAUUGAAAGUACCUGUAAAAUAAAUACACUGAACUUUAUU